rnacentral:rRNA from 1 species
UACGGAGGAUCCGAGCGUUAUCCGGAUUUAUUGGGUUUAAAGGGUGCGCAGGCGGAAGAUUAAGUCGGUGGUGAAAUUUUGCAGCUCAACUGUAAAAGUGCCAUUGAUACUGGUUUUCUUGAGUGUGGAUGAAGUAGGCGGAAUUUGUGGUGUAGCGGUGAAAUGCAUAGAUAUCACGAGGAACUCCGAUUGCGCAGGCAGCUUACUAAACCAUAACUGACGCUCAGGCACGAAGGCGUGGGGAUCAAACAGGAUUAGAUACCCA